rnacentral:sRNA from 1 species
UUGCGACACUAUAAUCAGUUACACUGGCUAUGUAGCGCUACAUAAUGACUCACAAAUGAUUCCCCCCUGCUACUGUAGAGAGAGAUCGGACGAUGAUCUGCAGCAGUGUCACAAGAAUGUUGACACGGCAAAAAGUGUGGAAUGAAGAAUAUCGGCCAAUGCAUUAUUAUAAGUCGCA